UACGGGGGGGGCAAGCGUUGUUCGGAAUUACUGGGCGUAAAGCGCGCGUAGGCGGGUGGACAAGUCUCUCGUGAAAGCCCACGGCUCAACCGUGGAAUUGCGGGUGAUACUGUCUGUCUUGAGUUCGGGAGAGGAGGGUGGAAUUCCCUGUGUAGCGGUGAAAUGCGUAGAUAGUGGGAGGAACACCGGUGGCGAAGGCGGCUCUCUGGAUCGCUACUGACGCUGAGGCGCGAAAGCUAGGGGAGCAAACGGG
rnacentral:rRNA from 1 species